CAAUAGCGUAUAUUAAAGUUGUUGCAGUUAAAAAGCUCGUAGUUGGAUUUCUGGCAGGAGCGACGGUCCGCCGCCAAGGUGGUGCACUAGGUUGUCUCCAGUCAUCUUUGUGGGAACUGCUCUGGCAUUAGGUUGUCGGGUUAGGGAACACAUCGUUUACUGUGAAAAAAUUAGAGUGUUUAAAGCAGGCUUAUGCCGUUGAAUACAUUAGCAUGGAAUAAUAAGAUAGGACUUUGGUGGUCUAUUUUGUUGGUUUGCACACCAAGGUAAUGAUUAAUAGGGAUAGGUUGGGGGUAUUCGUAUUUAAUUGUCAGAGGUGAAAUUCUUGGAUUUAUGAAAGACGAACUACUGCGAAAGCAUUUACCAAAGAUGUUUUCAUUAAUCAAGAACGAAAGUUAGGGGAUCGAAGAUGAUUAGAUCCGU
rnacentral:rRNA from 1 species